rnacentral:rRNA from 1 species
CCUACGGGGGGCUGCAGUGGGGAAUAUUGGACAAUGGGGGCAACCCUGAUCCAGCCAUGCCGCGUGUGUGAAGAAGGCCCUCGGGUUGUAAAGCACUUUCAGUGAGGAAGAACGCCUGGUGGUUAAUACCCAUCAGGAAAGACAUCACUCACAGAAGAAGCACCGGCUAACUCCGUGCCAGCAGCCGCGGUAAUACGGAGGGUGCGAGCGUUAAUCGGAAUUACUGGGCGUAAAGCGCGCGUAGGUGGCUUGAUAAGCCGGUUGUGAAAGCCCCGGGCUCAACCUGGGAACGGCAUCCGGAACUGUCAAGCUAGAGUGCAGGAGAGGAAGGUAGAAUUCCCGGUGUAGCGGUGAAAUGCGUAGAGAGCGGGAGGAAUACCAGUGGCGAAGGCGGCCUUCUGGACUGACACUGACACUGAGGUGCGAAAGCGUGGGUAGCAAACAGGAUUAGAUACCCGUGUAGUC